rnacentral:misc_RNA from 1 species
AGCAGCCGCGGUAAUUCCAGCUCCAAUAGCGUAUAUUAAAGUUGUUGCAGUUAAAAAGCUCGUAGUUGAAUUUCGGGGUUAGUAGGUUGGUCAUGCCUCUGGUAUGUACUGGUCUCACUGAUUCCUCCUUCCUGAUGAGCCGUAAUGCCAUUAAUUUGGUGUUGCGGGGAAUUUGGACUGUUACUUUGAAAAAAUUAGAGUGUUUAAAGCAAGCUAACGCUUGAAUACAUUAGCAUGGAAUAAUGAAAUAGGACGUUCGAUCCUAUUUUGUUGGUUUCUAGGAUUGACGUAAUGAUUAAUAGGGAUAGUUGGGGGCAUUAGUAUUCAAUUGUCAGAGGUGAAAUUCUUGGAUUUAUUGAAGACUAACUACUGCGAAAGCAUUUGCCAAGGAUGUUUUCAUUAAUCAAGAACGAAAGUUAGGGGAUCGAAGACGAUCAGAUACCGUCGUAGUCUUAACCAUAAACUAUGCCGACUAGGGAUCGGAUGAUGUUAAUUUUUAAUGACUCAUUCG